AGCUCCAAUAGCGUAUAUUAAAGUUGCUGCAGUUAAAAAGCUCGUAGUUGGAUCUCGGGUGCAGGCUUGCGGUCCGCCUCGCGGCGGUCACUGCUCGUCCUGACCUCCACGCCGGUUGUCCGCGCCCUGGUGCUCUUGAUUGAGUGUCUCGGCCGGCCGGAACGUUUACUUUGAAGAAAUUAGAGUGCUCAAAGCAGGCCUUAGCCGCCUGAAUAAUGGUGCAUGGAAUAAUGGAAUAGGACCUCGGUUCUAUUUUGCUGGUUUUCGGAGCUCGAGGUAAUGAUUAAUAGGGAUAGUUGGGGGCAUUCGUAUUUAACUGUCAGAGGUGAAAUUCUUGGAUUUGUUAAAGACAGACUACUGCGAAAGCAUUUGCCAAGGAUGUUUUCAUUG
rnacentral:rRNA from 1 species